rnacentral:lncRNA from 1 species
AUUGAGGUUCUUUGUAAGAGAGCCAUCUUAUGAGUGAGAGGCAUCAGACGCUAGCUCAGAUGAUAAGACGUAGCAGCUGUUAGCUUUUAGCUUCUUCAAUGUCUUCCCUCUCAUAGAUGAGGAGAUGCGGAAAAGACAGAAUAUAGAACCUAAAAGGAUAAUGGAAGUUGUUCGUCUUUGAAUCCGAAAGUAAGAACUUGUAAAUAAGGUGUUAAGCUAUUGGCAAGAAAGAAAGAGGUAUUAAAUACAAUUACCUUAUUCAACAAAUGAAUGCAAUCCAUGACAAGUCGCUCAAAUAUUACAAGAAGUUGGAGGAAAACCUCAAAGCAACGACAGAGAACCUUCAAUUGGUCAAUCAAAGUUCAAAAGAAGUCUUUUUCAGAAUUUAGAACCGGUGUUCUGGAAAAUUCUAUGGAGGUAUUCAAAGUUUCUAGAAAAUAGUAAAAUCUUUAGUUAAAAAUUUAUGUCUAACUGAUACAUGAUGUGAUGUGUACAAGUUAGCGGUCGAUAGUUUAUCAUAUAUCAGAAAGAAAAGGCUUCAAAUCAAAUUAAAGAUAAUUAAUUAAAUAUGCUAAUUUAC